UGUGGGGGUAUUAGAAGGUUGUGCCUUGGGGAGGUGAUUAGAUCUGGACUGUGGAGCCCUCAAGAAUGGGAUUAGCACCCUUAUAAGAGAAGACAGCCACCUAUGAAACAGGAAGCAGGCUUUCCUCAGAAACCCACUCUGCUGAUGCCUUGAUCUUGGACUUCCCUGCCUCGAGAAUUGAUCUUUUUGCCUUGAUAAAAUUGAAGGAUGCAAACCGCUGACACCCGAAGCAUCAGUCACUCUCUUCCAACCAUUUCUCAAACCAGUUUUGUUGAUUUGAAUAUAUUCAUUGUUCAUCUUGCUAUGCAUUAUUUAUUCACCAACUCCUGUUAAUAAUACAUAGUAAUAAAUGACAAAUAUCCAGGUUAA